GCCGCGCGCUGCCCGGGCCGCCGCCCCACGCGCGGUGCACUCGCGCCCCCUCCCCUCUCCCGCCCCCGGCCAGCGCGGCCCCGCCCCCGGAGGCUCGCGGCCCGCGCCCCCACUUGCCCCGCGCUGCGCGCGGAAUCUCGAGCGAAGGCAACGCCGCGCGCUGCCCCGGCCGCCGCCCCGAGCGCCCGGCGUUCGCGCCCCCUCCCCGCCCCGCUCCGCCCCGCCCAGCCCAGCCCGGAGGCUCGCGCCCCGCGCCCCCACUUGCCCUGCGCGCCGCGCGGAGUCCGGCGCGCGCCGGGGGGGCGGGGCGGGCGCCAGGGAGUGCGGGCCCCGCGGGGCGGCCAUGGAGUAAGGCGGCGCGCGGACUCGCGCUGGGACGGACCGACUGACUGACCGACGGGCGGCCCCGGGCUGGGCGUGCUGGAAGAUGAACAGAGCAGAUUCACCAAAACCACCAGUUGCUCCCAAGCCAAAGACUGCCAGUCCCCUCACACCUGUGACAGCACCCAAAUUCCCUUCAUCACCCCGGCCUGAUAGUCUUCACAGUCCCAACUCCAUGUCUAGGGGGCCGAAGCCCCCCAUUGCCCCUAAGCCCAGGCUGGCGACCCCCAGUGAGUGGAGAGCCAGCGUGUACAUGAUCAACAGCUUGAACAAAUGCAGCAACGGGAAAGUGCUCUGCGUUGACAGGGGGCUUUACGGAGAGCACCGGUCCAACUUGGAGUGCUCUGAGUCUGAGGCUGAUGAGGAGUACAUUGUGGUCCCCAAGGCUCCGCCGAAAGAGGACGAACCCAGGUGUAGCAGCUCUGCAGAGAAUGCAGUAAUGGUGCCUCCAGAUGCCGCUGGAGAGGAGUGCCGGGAGGGAGGCGAGGAGAGCGACCUGGAGGGGAUGGGAGCUGCUGAGGACUUGGCAGCCCCAGCUGAAGUGGUGCUGGGUGAAGAGGUUGAUGGAGGCAUAGCCCCCACCCCUGAGAAUGUGGGGGUGGAGGAUGGUGCCUGUGAUCCAGGGGCAGAGGAGCAGACAUUUACAAGUGAGGAGGAAGAGAAGCUAGUGGAAGAACACAACGUGUACAACCUGGAGGACAGGGGCCCUUGGGAUGGAGAAGCAGUCCUUCCAAGUGAUAUCAUUCUAACUCACGUUGAUUUAGAGGGUCCAGCAACUCCCAGUGAUGAGCCUGGGCCCCCUGGGACACCCACAGAGGCAGAGGAGGGUGGUGAGGAAGGCUCCACCAACACAGAACCAGGGGCUCCAGAUGAACGUGUGGAUUCUGACAGGCCCCCUGAGGGGGAUGCUGAAGAUGACAGCAAGGAACCCACAGAGAAUGAGGGCUUGGCAAUGGGUGUUCAGGAGGCAGAGAUGGCCACAGACAGCCCUGAAGUCCCAGAGGAAGGGGGUGAAAAUGCCACAGCCAGUGGUGACCAGGAUGACCAGGAUGAACCACCUGACCAAAAUGAGAAAACGGACCAAGAAGAAAUGGCCGCAGUCACCCGGGAGGUGGGAGAGGACCCUCGAGAAGGUGAAGACCUGGUGCAGGAAGAACCUGCCGAGGAGAGCUGCCAAAUCAUUCCUUUCGAGAAUGAUGGCAUGGAUGAAUUUGUGACUUCACUCUCAGGAAGUCCCUACGAGUUCUUUCCGACUGAGAGCACCUCUUUCUGUAGCGAGAGCUACUCCUCUUUUUCCAAGUCAGCAAAAGACUUAGAGUCACAGCAGGAACCACAGUCUGGAGAACGUGCAGAGCAGGACCCCAUUGUUGGAACUUCGUGUGGCUCUGGGGAGGGCCCCUCUGUCCCUGACGUGGUGGUCAUGCCAGAGGAUGAGGAUGCCAUAGACGAUGGGCUCACCAACCCCUAUGAGAUGGGAGUUGACCUGGAGCAAGGGUCUGACCCUGGGGAAGGAGAGAAGCCUGAGACACAGGCUGCAUCUGACAUGCUGAGUGGUUAUGGCACAAAAGAAGAAAUGAACUCUGAUGCUGAGGGUGGCCUGGUCUCCAUCGACAGGAAGAACAUCAUCACUAGGGCCAGGCCCCACUCCGGGAAGGUGGCUGGCUAUGUCCCAGAAACUGUCCCAGAAGAAACUGGACCAGAAGCUGGCUCAUCAGCCAUUGGCAUUAGAGGUGCCACCAAGGAGGCGAGAAAGACGGUUCUUUCGUUGGAGGGGAAACCACUGGAAACCAGCAGGGCCUUGCCAGCAAAGCCCAGAGCCUUCACUCUAUACCCCCGAUCAUUCUCUGUGGAAGGCCGAGAGAUUCCAGUCUCCUUGUACCGGGAGUCGGAGGCAUCGGGCUUGGAUGACCAUAGGAUCAAAAGGAAAGAUGACAACCUUUCUCUGCCCUGUAUGAUUGGCUCCUCUGGGAGUUUCUCCCAGAGGAACCACCUUCCGUCCAGCGGCACCUCAACACCCUCUUCUGUGGUCGACAUCCCGCCCCCUUUCGACCUGGCCUGCAUCACCAAAAAGCCCAUCACAAAGAGCUCUCCCUCCCUGCUGAUCGAGAGUGAGCCCCCAGACAAGUACACCAAGAAGAAGAAGUCAUCUUUCAAGAGGUUCCUGGCACUGACUUUUAAAAAGAAGUCGGAGAACAAAGUGCACGUGGAUGUCAACGUGUCUUCUUCCAGGUCGUCUUCAGAAUCCAGCUACCAUGGGCCUGCCAGGCUUCUGGAAAUUGACCGCAGGAGCCUCAGCAACUCCCCACAGCUUAAGGCUCGGACUGGCAAGCUCCGGGCUUCCGAUUCCCCUUCCUCCCUCAUCUUCUACAGGGAUGGCAAGAGGAAAGGUGUCCCCUUCAGCAGGACGGUGUCCAGAGUGGAGUCCUUCGAAGACCGCUCCCGGCCCCCCUUUCUGCCCUUGCCCCUGACCAAGCCUCGGUCCAUCUCAUUCCCCAACGCCGACACUUCAGACUAUGAGAACAUCCCAGCCAUGAACUCAGACUAUGAAAAUAUUCAGAUUCCACCCCGGAGGCCUGCGAGGGCUGGGACAUUUACAAAACUGUUUGAAGAUCAGAGCAGAGCCCUGUCCACGGCAAAUGAAAACGAUGGCUAUGUGGACAUGAGCAGCUUCAACGCCUUUGAAAGCAAACAACAGAGCGCAGACCAAGAAGCAGAAAGCGCCUACACAGAACCUUAUAAGGUCUGCCCCAUCUCGGCGGCAGCCCCCAAAGAGGACCUAUCAUCGGAUGAAGAACAGGGAAGCUCGGAGGAGGAGGAGAGUGUUCCAAGAGACCCCAGCCUCACCCACAAGCUGGAAGGACUGUCUAGAGCCCAUGUCAUCGCACAGGAACUGCUGUCUUCAGAGAAAGCAUACAUGGAGAUGCUCCAGCACUUACAUCUGGAUUUCCACGGAGCUGUCAUGAGGGCCUUGGAUGAAAUAGACCAGGAGGGCAAGGACACGUUGGCCAGGGAGGAGCUGAGGCGUGGCCUGAGUGAACUCCCAGCCAUCCGAGACCUGCACCAGGGGAUCCUGGAGGAGCUGGGGGAGAGGCUGUUGCACUGGGAGGGCCAGCAGAAGGUGGCUGACGUCUUCCUGGCCCGGGAACAAGAGUUUGACCAUCAUGCCGCUCACAUCCUGCAGUUCGACAGGUAUCUGAGUCUGCUCAGUGAGAACUGCCUGCAUUCUCCCCGGCUGGCCGCUGCUGUCCGCGAGUUUGAGCAGAGUCAGCAAGGAGGUGGCCAGAACGUGAAGCACCGGCUGCUGCGGGUGGUUCAGCGCCUCUUCCAGUACCAAGUGCUCCUCACAGACUAUUUAAACAACCUUUGUCCGGACUCAGCUGAGUACGAUAACACGCAGGGUGCCCUCACCCUCAUCUCCAAAGUCACAGACCAUGCCAAUGAUAGCAUGGAGCAAGGGGAAAACCUGCAGAAGUUGGUCCACAUUGAGCACAGCGUUCGGGGCCAAGGGGAUCUCCUCCAGCCAGGAAGGGAGUUUCUCAAGGAGGGGACACUGAUGAAAGUAACAGGGAAAAGCAGACGCCCCCGGCACCUGUUCCUGAUGAGCGAUGUGCUCCUGUAUACGUAUCCCCAGAAGGACGGGAAAUACCGGCUGAAGAACACAUUGUCAGUGGCCAGCAUGAAGGUCAGUCGUCCUGUGAUGGAGAAAGUGCCCUAUGCUCUAAAGAUCGAGACUUCCCAGUCCUGCCUGACUCUAUCUGCGAGCUCCUGCGCAGAGCGGGACGAGUGGCACAGCUGUCUGAGCAGAGCCCUCCCUGAGGAUUACAAGGCCCAGGCCCUGGCUGCCUUUCACCACAGUGUGGAGAUACGGGAGAGGCUGGGGGUCAGCCUGGGGGAGAGGCCCCCCACUCUGGUGCCCGUCACACAUGUUAUGAUGUGCAUGAACUGUGGCUGCGACUUCUCCCUCACCCUGAGGCGUCACCACUGCCACGCCUGUGGCAAGAUUGUGUGCCGGAACUGUUCAAGAAACAAGUACCCUCUGAAGUACCUCAAGGACCGGAUGGCCAAGGUCUGUGACGGCUGCUAUGGGGAGCUGAAGAAGAGGGGCGGGGAUGUCCCAGGCCUGAUGAGAGAGCGGCCCGUGAGCAUGAGCUUCCCCCUGUCCUCCCCCCGCUUCUCGAGCAGUGCCUUCUCGUCUGUCUUCCACGGCAUCAACCCCUCGACCUUCAAGAAACAGAAGAAGGUCCCUUCGGCCCUGACCGAGGUGGCCGCCUCGGGAGAGGGCUCCGCCAUCAGUGGCUAUCUGAGCCGGUGCAAGAAAGGCAAGAGGCACUGGAAGAAGCUCUGGUUUGUCAUCAAAGGCAAAGUGCUCUACACCUACAUGGCCAGUGAGAACAAACUGAAAUGUGAUGUGAUGCCCACCUGCAGCCCAGGGCAGCAUCUUCCAAAGACACAGUGGCCAUGGAAAGUAUGCCUCUGCUCGGUUUCACCAUUGCCCCAGAGAAGGAAGAGGGCAGCAGUGAAGUAGGACCUAUUUUUCACCUCUACCACAAGAAAACCCUAUUUUAUAGCUUCAAAGCAGAGGAUACCAAUUCAGCUCAAAGGUGGAUCGAGGCCAUGGAAGAUGCAAGUGUGUUAUAGCAGUUAUCAAGCAUGUGGACUGAGAAUAAAGUCUUAGGUUGAAUGUGGACCCUUCCAGAAGCCAAUCUGUGUCUCUGCUCCUCGGGACUCAUAUCUGGAUUCAGCACGGGGCCUCAUCUUUUUUGCCAUAACCCCCUCUCUCACCGUCACAAGUGGAACCCCUAAGGAAUAUUUAUGAACCGCUCCUUUUCUAUUCUUGUGUCUUCUAGCCGCCCGACCCCGCCCCACCCCAGCAUAAACGAUCUCCUUACCGGGUAGUGAGACCACGUUUAGUAACGUGAAGACAUGGAAACAAAAGGAAAAAAGUACAUUUUAGAAAUGCAGGCUUUUUAGUGGAAACAAGCUUUUACAGUUUUUACCAGUGGUAAACAUUAUCACCUUCCAUAGCACUGAUGUCAGUGCCUCAGGCGAAACGAGAAACAACUGGUAAAUAACAGCUACCCUCAUCGAAAGCACUUUAUUGUUUUACUGAGCUACAACCUCCAGUUUUAUGUUUUCCAAGUGAUUUACUUAAGUAAGGAGCAGAUGGAGUCCUGUGGACUAAUUUGCCACCAGUUCUCAACAAGGGUGUACGUACAGUUGAUUUGUGCCAACACGGAUGGACCUGGCCAAGUGGGCAGGUGAGCGGCACUCAGAGGGGAGGGUCCUCCUUACUGCAGAGGCCGCACUGCACUGGAUAAGGCAAGGAUUUUCUCCUCCACUUGAUCAUGAGACCUGUAUACGGACAUGACUUAAGGAAGGACCCCCUCCUUCCCGGGGUGGUCCUCACACUACCCCAGUGCUGGAUGCUCGGCUGCCGGCAGGCCCAGCCCCCACCCUGGAGGUCACCACAAACCCUCUGAAGAGAUAGGGUCUGCUGUAAUUUAUUGUGUGCCUUCCUGUGUUUACCCAACAUGAGCUGACAGUGUUAUGUGUAAAAGAACCUGUGCUUGUUUUCAACAUGGUUACCCUUCGGCUGUAUUACCAAAGCCUUGAAAGAUACGAAGACAGAAAAGAUAUAAUCAGAAAGUGAAUUGGUGGUCUUGGCCAGUGGCUCUGGACACAGUGAGGGAGCACAGAAGUAGUGGCUUGAAGAAACUCUCUGGGCACCUGGGGCUCAGCCACCUCCCGCUGAUGACUGCUGCUCAUCAUGCUGGACAAAUUUCUACAUAGAGCAAGAAUGGGGGUGGGGCAGGUGGGAUUCCUUGUUACUCUCAUUGAAAUAGAAAACGAUCAUAUCAUUUCCUGAUGUCCUGUCCCCUAAACAAAACGGCAUUUGCGACAAACCUUUUGUAAAAAGCACCAUCUCAAGGAGUUAUUUACAUUAAAUAUUUUCAGGGGAAUUUUUUUUUCUAGUUUGCAAUUUCUCCUUUAAAAUGUUUGCAUUGAACAUUUAAUUAAUGAUUCAAACUAAGUGAUUAGACAGAUCUUUUUAUUAAUUUUUGAGGGCUCAAUUCCAAUGCAACCACUUUCAUUAUCAGACCUACUUUAAGCGGGCCUUCUAGAGCCUCUGAGCCUUUAAAAAGCACAGCAAGACUUCGGCACCAGGUAGUGGGAGCUUCCCCAAUCUGCUGUGCGCCACUGGCCACUGUCAGUUUCUGGGCUCCAGGUAGAAUUAUGCAUUUGGAAGUCAUCUGAAGGUCUCUUGUACCAUAUAACAUCCUAUUUCUGACGCUGAAAAGAAGAGGUAAUGGGGCUUUGAUUUCUCAGUCAGUAGUUACCCUAAUAAAAACCACCUGGGUUAUAGAUAAAACCUAGUGGAUCAGUUUUAUAAAAGGAAGUGGCAGGGGCCACUAAGAUCCUCCACAGUUCCUAUGUGACUGGGCAAGGACCCAUCUGGUUUACCUGUAACUCAUUCGUACCUGUCCUUCCUACGGUUCUUCGAUUUCAGCCAAUUUCUACUAGUCAAUUUCGCUUGCUGUUCCUUCCCUGACCUUCUCUUUGUCCAGCCCAUUUUACAGGUUCAUGGGGCCUGGUUGGAAUAACUCAAGUGAAGCCAUCCACCUGGCCUAAGGGUGGAUGCACCCAGGGGCUAGAGAAGUAACAGCUUUGAUGCCACGACCACGCUCCCCAAGCUUCCCAUGGUAUCUGCUUUGCCUACCUGCUCCCUAGGCUUCAGCAAAGGCUGUGUUUCUAGGGAGGAAGCAGUUCUGUACCAAGCUGUAGCCCAGAAAUGAGAGCACACAGGGUAAAGUCACUCACGUCAGAGGCUCCAGCUCCAAGCCUUGGUGUUUUUACCAGUCACAUGGAGACCAUUCCAACUUCCAAAAGAGUUCAGGGGUAAAGCACAAACCAAACAUUCAAGAAAGUGGACUGGAAACCAUAACCCCAUGGGGGAAGGGCAUGCACUGUACAAAGUGAAAAUAAGUAACGGGCCCUGCUCUGUGACAAUACAAGAUGAAGACAAUAUGCAAAGACCUUCCUUCUUAUUCAUGGAAAUGGCAAGAAAGAAGCCAGGCCUGAAGAGAGCCUGGCAGGGGCAGGCUGAGCUCCUUUGGUCAUCAGGUCUUUUCCCCCUCUAUUUGUUUUGAAUGACCUCUCCUUGAGCUCGUCACACAUGGGUCAAGAAAACACAGCCCUUUGCAGGGUUGGCCUCUGCCUGCUUCUCAGAAUCAGUAAAAGUUUAUGAAACUGGAGUUACACUGAAAGCACUUACUUUCAAGUGGCUUCACACCUUCCCUGCAAUGUAUUUCCAGCCUGGAUUGGUUUUAGUAACUAGGAAGAAUUCUGUUCAUGAUUACUAAUACAAAGCACACUAGAAACAAAGUGUCCAGGGACAUUGGUCGAGUUCCUGGCUCCUGGUAAUAAUUCUUGCACAUAUCAGAAGUAGGCUUUGAGUUGUUGUGGUCAGGCCGACAGACACGCUGACCACGUAUUCUCCAUUGGAUGCAGCCUGGUCCCUUAUGUGGGUGUGGACUGAGGGUGGAUCAUUGGGUGUACGCCAUGCAAGCCAGUGCCCAGGACACCGACAGCCCUGCUACCACAACUGAAGGGUAAUGAGGUCAGAGUCUUUUCUUCAUCCAGCCCAGCCUUUUGUUUGACUGAGUAUAAAUGUCAUCGCUGAACACUGAACCUCUAAAUGGGGACUGAGGUCACCUGGGCUAGGAGUGGUAGGACUAAGCUGGAGCCUGAGUUCUGCUACAAGGCAGAGACAACAACAUGCUAGAAUAUUCUGUUAAUUGAUUCAACCGUGUUUUGUGGCUUCUAUAAUCGUGGGCGUUUUGCGCUUCCACACAUGAAUGGUCAGUUGAAAGGACAGACGUGUCCACGCUAAGGAGUCUGUUUUCAAUAAGUAAGAGCAAACUAACAUCAAAUUGGUUUAAAUAGCUUUACAAGAGGAGGUCCAAAAGCAGGGCAGUUUCAGACUUCGACAGUAUCCCUAAGGACCAAGCUCUUUGGGCUUCUCUAAUCUGCUGUCCAGCGUCAGCUUGAUUCCAGGGCUGGUUCUCCAGAGACUGAUGAGUGACUGCCACUGAUGGCGGGGCUAGAGGUUUUCCUGUUCACAGGCACCAGAGAGGGGAAGCUCAUCUUCCUGUUGUAGCUUUUUCUUAGAGGCACCCAGCAGGCCUUCCGUGACACUCCAGGUCCACACUUACUUAUUGCCUGCCCUUUCUUAAGCUACUUACAGGGAGAGACUGGUCAGCUGGGGGCUGAGGGGAGGACGGCUGCUGAGGAUCCACCCACAAAGUCCACUCUUUGGACCACAUCUUUUGGAAAGACUACGGUUUGGAUUAGCAUAAUGUAAGGGCUCUGCAGGGCCAUGGAGGAAGCUCCCUAGGUGGCCUCAGUUUCUUCCUUGCACAGAUAAUCUGGUGAUGCUGUACAGGAAAGGGCAUCCUCUGCUGACAGAACAGAAUGACAACAGGCCUCAUUCUCUUGACAGUCCUUCACGGGUACUGUUACAAUAGAGCAAGUAUAGAAAGGCAGCACAUCCACAAGAGUGAAAGAGGUUUGUACAAAAUCCGUGUUAAGAAAGCAGAGAGAAACAAAGACACUGUGAACAAAAAUUUUAGCCUUGUUUUUUUCAACUCUAGGAGUGGGUUAUGAAAUCGACGCAGUGGACCACAACCAGCUCCCUCCCCCAGCCCCACCCUACAUGCUCACUGAAGACAGCAGAGCGGAACACAGCAGGGCGUAUCCGUCCUCCUUAAGGCUGUUUUAUGACAUUUUGUUUUUCAAUUGUGUGUGCAUACACAUGAUAUUACUGAUUGUUGAUGUCAAAAUGUAGUUCCACUUCUAGAUUAUGGUCAAAACUUACUUUCAAAAAAUUUUUAAGCCACUAGCUUAAGACUGUCAGGUAAGAAAAAAAUGAGCACAGAGUUGCAGUUAAGACAUAUAAUGAGCCAAAUCAAGACCUUACUAAAGACACAUAUUCAAAUGUAAGGACAUUGCCAGUUUUAUUUUUUGAAUGCUUCAAAAAUAUAACGAGGGGAAAGGUAUAAAAUUUAUGGUAAAGCUACAGAAAUAGUUUUGAUCAGGAAAUGGUAUGGUAGCAAUCAAGGUAUCAGAUACCUAUAAGCAAAGUAACAUACACCUGUUAUUGGUGUAUGUAAAUUAUAAAUUAUAACAAUUAUCCAGAAGCUGAGAGUUGCAAAUAUGACAGAACUUUAGAAUAACAACAUGUUUUAUGCCAGGGGCUCCCAAAGCUUAUUUUCAACAGUGACCACUACUCUGGUUUAUUACAUAAAGAUUUCCCCACUCAAGUGAGAACUGCCCUAAAUGACCUCAAAUUCUCUUCAAAAUUAGGAUCUCACUUUCAAAAGUGCAAUUCACAUUCUCUCCAAAGGUAGACUCAGAGGGAAAGUAA